ACCAGGAUGGCCGAGUGGUUAAGGCGUUGGACUUAAGAUCCAGUGGACAUGUGUCUGCGUGGGUUCGAACCCCACUCCUGGUA
rfam:Alligator mississippiensis ScZkoYb_55, whole genome shotgun sequence.